rnacentral:rRNA from 1 species
UAGUAUGAACGGCAUCACGAGGGUUACACUGUCUCCCUAUUCCAUUCAGUGAAACUGAUCUUCCCGUGAAGAAGCGGGAAUAUAAAUAUAAGACGAGAAGACCCCAUGGAGCUUUAAACUCAGUAUCAUCUGCCACUUCAAUACCCUCUUAAUUACGCAGACCAUGAUAACUAGUUUUCGGUUGGGGUGACCGCGGAGUAAAACAAAACCUCCACAACGAAAGGAACUAACAACCUAAUCCAAGAGCAACAUCUCUAAGAAUCAACAAAUUGACUUAAUUGAUCCAAUUACUUGAUCAACGAACCAAGUUACCCUGGGGAUAACAGCGCAAUCCAUUUCAAGAGCUCAUAUCGACAAAUGGGUUUACGACCUCGAUGUUGGAUCAGGGUAUCCCAGUGGCGCAGCAGCUACUAACGG